rnacentral:rRNA from 1 species
UUAAAAAGCUCGUAGUUGGAUUUCUGCGGGGGCGGGCGGCCGGAUGCUUAUAGCUCUCGAGCUAGCACUUCCCCCGCAUCCUGCCGCGAACCGUGCUACCAUUAGUUUGGUGGCGCUGGGGAUCGGCUCGUUUACUUUGAGAAAAAUAGAGUGUUCAAAGCAGGCCACACGCCUUGAGUAAGUUAGCAUGGAAUAAUGAUAAAGGACUUCGGUUCUAUUUUGUUGGUGUUCGGGACUGAAGUAAUGAUUGAUAGGGACAGUUGGGGCGGUCAGUAUUCCAAAGCGAGAGGUGAAAUUCUUAGACCUUCGGAAGACUAACAGCUGCGAAAGCGUUCCCGCAAGGAUGUUCCCUUUGAUCAAGAACGAAAGUUGGGGGAUCGAAGACGAUC